UACGGGGGGAGCAAGCGUUGUUCGGAUUUACUGGGCGUAAAGGGCGCGUAGGCGGCCAGCACAAGUCAGUUGUGAAAUCUCCGAGCUUAACUCGGAAAGGUCAACUGAUACUGUGCGGCUAGAGUGCGGAAGGGGCAACUGGAAUUCUUGGUGUAGCGGUGAAAUGCGUAGAUAUCAAGAGGAACACCUGCGGCGAAGGCGGGUUGCUGGGCCGACACUGACGCUGAUGCGCGAAAGCUAGGGGAGCGAUCCGG
rnacentral:rRNA from 1 species